rnacentral:rRNA from 1 species
UGGGGAAUUUUCCGCAAUGGGCGAAAGCCUGACGGAGCAAUACCGCGUGAGGGAGGAAGGCUCUUGGGUUGUAAACCUCUUUUCUCAGGGAAGAAUCCUGACGGUACCUGAGGAAUCAGCAUCGGCUAACUCCGUGCCAGCAGCCGCGGUAAUACGGAGGGUGCAAGCGUUGUCCGGAUUUAUUGGGUUUAAAGGGUACGUAGGCGGGCUGUUAAGUCUGAGGUGAAAGCUCCUGGCUCAACCAGGAAAUUGCCUUGGAUACUGGCAGUCUUGAGUACAGUAGAGGUGGGCGGAAUUCAUGGUGUAGCGGUGAAAUGCAUAGAUACCAUGAGGAACACCGAUAGGGAAGCCAGCUCACUGGACUGUUACUGACGCUGAGGUACGAAAGCGUGGGGAGCGAACAGGAUUAGAUACCCGUGUAGUCC